rnacentral:rRNA from 1 species
CAUCUGGAAAGAUGAAUCAAAGAAGGUAAUAAUCCUGUAGUCGAAAAUGUUGUCUCUCUUGAGUGGAUCCUGAGUACGACGGAGCACGUGAAAUUCCGUUGGAAUCUGGGAGGACCAUCUCCUAAGGCUAAAUACUCUCUAGUGACCGAUAGUGAACCAGUACCGUGAGGGAAAGGUGAAAAGCACCCCGGAAGGGGAGUGAAAUAGAACCUGAAACCGUGUGCUUACAAGUAGUCAGAGCCCGUUAAUGGGUGAUGGCGUGCCUUUUGUAGAAUGAACCGGCGAGUUACGAUUUGAUGCAAGG